rnacentral:rRNA from 1 species
CAGUAGCCGCGGUAAUACAGAGGUCCCGAGCGUCGUUCGGAUUCACUGGGCGUAAAGGGUGUGUAGGAGGUUGGAUAAGUCAGGUGUGAAAUCCCGCAGCUCAACUGCGGAACUGCAUUCGAUACUGUUCAACUAGAGGAUCGGAGGGGGAAGCGGAAUUCUUGGUGUAGCGGUGAAAUGCGUAGGUAUCAAGAGGAACACCGGUGGCGAAGGCGGCUUCCUGGAAGAUACCUGACUCUGAAACACGAAAGCCAGGGGAGCGAAUGGGAUUAGAUACCCGCGUAGUCCCUGUCUCUUAUAC